UACGUAGGUGGCAAGCGUUGUCCGGAAUUAUUGGGCGUAAAGCGCUCGCAGGCGGUCUUUUAAGUCUGAUGUGAAAUCUCGUGGCUUAACCACGAACGGUCAUUGGAAACUGGAGGACUUGAGUACAGAAGAGGAGAGUGGAAUUCCACGUGUAGCGGUGAAAUGCGUAGAGAUGUGGAGGAACACCAGUGGCGAAGGCGGCUCUCUGGGACGGUACUGACGCUGAGACGCGAAAGCGUGGGGAGCGAACAGG
rnacentral:rRNA from 1 species